rnacentral:rRNA from 1 species
GACGAACGCUGGCGGCGUGCCUAACACAUGCAAGUCGAACGGACAGGCCCUGCUUUUGUGCGGUGCUCGAGUGGCGAACGGGUGAGUAACACGUGAGUAACCUGUCCUUGACUUUGGGAUAACUUCACGAAACUGGGGCUAUUACCGGAUAGGAUCUCUUGCUGCAUGGUGUGCGUUGGAGAGUUUCGGCGGUUGGGGAUGUACUCGCAGCUUAUCAGCUUGUUGGUGGGGUAGUGGCUUACCAAGGCUUUGACGGGUAGCCGGCCUGAGAGGGUGACCGGCCACAUUAGGACUGAGAUACGGCCCAGACUCCAACGGGAGGCAACGGUGGGGAGUAUUGCACAGUGGGCGGAAGCCUGAUACAACAACGCCGCGUGCGGGAUGACGGGCUUCGGGUUGUAAACCGAUUUCGCCUGUGACGAAGCGUGAGUGACGGUACUGGGUAAAGAAGCACCGGCUAACUACGUG